GAAAUAGAUGAUUUAAAAGAAAUAGUUUUUGAUUUAACGGUAUCGUCCGUGUGUUUGCAUACUAUGCAUUUGUUGCAUUUAAAAAAAGCCUUUCGGCUUCAACGGAAAGGGAGGGGGGCAGAGAGGAAGGGUAGUUGCUUUGUUUCGUUUAAUUCUUUGUAAGGAUGGAUUUAAAGCUGGGAGCCCCUCUGAAUAUAACAUGUGGUUUAUCAGGGAUAAUACCAGCUAG